GCCAGACUCCUACGGGAGGCAGCAGUGGGGAAUAUUGCACAAUGGGGGAAACCCUGAUGCAGCGACGCCGCGUGAGUGAAGAAGUAUUUCGGUAUGUAAAGCUCUAUCAGCAGGGAAGAAAAUGACGGUACCUGAUUAAGAAGCCCCGGCUAACUACGUGCCAGCAGCCGCGGUAAUACGUAGGGGGCAAGCGUUAUCCGGAUUUACUGGGUGUAAAGGGAGCGUAGACGGUGAUGCAAGUCAGAAGUGAAAGCCCGGGGCUCAACUCCGGGACUGCUUUUGAAACUGUGUGACUGGAGUGCAGGAGAGGUAAGCGGAAUUCCUGGUGUAGCGGUGAAAUGCGUAGAUAUCAGGAGGAACACCAGUGGCGAAGGCGGCUUACUGGACUGUAACUGACGUUGAGGCUCGAAAGCGUGGGGAGCAAACAGGAUUAGAUACCCCAGUAC
rnacentral:rRNA from 1 species